rnacentral:lncRNA from 1 species
AGCAUUUUAAAGAGAGAUGGAGGGCCAGAUUUACGGCACUUGGCUGAAAUAUGAGGAGCCAUAGGGAGCUUGCUAACAACAGGCUUCCUAUAAGCGGCCAGUGUAUGCCCAAUAGUGCGUUGUGCGACCAUCCUGCCACACGCAUGUGCGACCAUGCUACGCACAGUGCAUUGCUAUGUCACACAUUGUGCAUGCAUACUGUGAGCAUCUUCAUGCACAGUACUCAUCGUGCGCUCACGACCGUGUCUAUGCGGGUUAACCCCACGUGAUGCCACGGUCUCGCAGGUGCGAGUCGCGGUUUGUGAGGAUUU